rnacentral:rRNA from 1 species
CCUACGGGAGGCAGCAGUGAGGAAUAUUGGUCAAUGGACGAGAGUCUGAACCAGCCAAGUAGCGUGAAGGAUGACUGCCCUAUGGUUUGUAAACUUCUUUUAUCGAGGAAUAAAACGAAACACGUGUGCCUUUUUGCAUGUACUUUAUGAAUAAGGAUCGGCUAACUCCGUGCCAUCAGCCGCGGUAAUACGGAGGAUCCGAUCGUUAUCCGGAUUUGUUGGGUUUAAAGGGAGCGUAGAUGGGUUGUUAAGUCAGUUGUGAAAGCUUGCGGCUCAACCGUACAAUUGCAAUUGAUACUGGCAGUCUUGAGUACAGUUGAGGGAGGCAGAAUUCGUGGUGUAGCGGUGAAAUGCUUAGAUAUCACGAAGAACCCCGAUUGCGAAGGCAGCUUCCUAAACUGUGACUGACAUUGAGGCGCGAAAGUGUGGGGAGCAAACAGGAUUAGAUACCCCAGUAGUC